UGAACGCUGGCGGCGUGCUAACACAUGCAAGUCGAACGGAGAUUACUUUUUAGCUUGCUAAGUUGUAAGUCUUAGUGGCGGACGGGUGAGUAACGCGUGGGUAACCUGCCUUAGUACAGGGGGAUAACAGUCGGAAACGACUGCUAAUACCGCAUAAGCGCACAGUAUCGCAUGAUACAGUGUGAAAAAGAUUUUAUCGGUAUAAGAUGGACCCGCGUCUGAUUAGCUAGUUGGUGAGGUAACGGCCCACCAAGGCGACGAUCAGUAGCCGGCCUGAGAGGGUGAACGGCCACAUUGGGACUGAGACACGGCCCAAACUCCUACGGGAGGCAGCAGUGGGGAAUAUUGCACAAUGGGGGAAACCCUGAUGCCAGCGACGCCGCGUGAGUGAAGAAGUAUUUCGGUAUGUAAAGCUCUAUCAGCAGGGAAGAAAAUGACGGUACCUGACUAAGAAGCCCCGGCUAACUACGUGCCAGCCGCCGC
rnacentral:rRNA from 1 species